AGAAUCCCUCCUUCACACCUCUUUUCCAUCUCUGUCAGAUUGUCCUCUCCAGCAAGGUGUCUAUGCAUGAAUCAUAUUUAUGAUUUCUUUGCAUUUUUAACAAUUAAUAUAGAUUUUUGUACCCACAACCCGAAGGCCAACCUUAAUACUGGACCUUGAGAGGGGCAUGUGGUCAACCAUGCCGGAGGACGCAGAGGAGUUGUUUGGGAAUGUUAUCAUCAGAGGACCCAAGAAGCAGCCCACCACGGAUGCAUGGACCAACCACACAAGUCCAUUCUUGCAAUCCAUCUGUGGCGAGGGUUCAUGACAGACAAGCCAAUAGAUUUGGGGGUCCACUUCCCGGUGAAACAAAUGUUCAUUGCGGACAAUACAAAGACGAUGAUUGGUACAAUGAGGUGAAUAUAUUAGAAUUUUUAUUCUUCUCUCUCCAUGUCUAUGUUUGUGCUUGAUCAACUGUCCACUUAAUGAUUUUAGUUGUACAAAGUCCUAAGCUGGUCUCACUAGGUCGUACCCAGUGGCGGAGACAGGGGGACCAGCAGGGGCCCUGGCCCCCCCUAACACCAUGAUUUUGCAUGUAAUUUGCUAUGAACAGUGGCAAAAUUAGUACUAAUUUGCUGCUAAAAAUCUAA